UACAGCCAUAUCACACUGAAACACCGACGCUCGUUCGAUCAUUAAAGUUAAGCAACGUCGAGCCUGGUCAGUACCUAGAUGGUAGACAGCUUGGGAAUACCAGGUGCUGUAAG